GACGAACGCUGGCGGCGUGCCUAAUACAUGCAAGUCGAACGCACUCUCGUUUAGAUUGAAGGAGUUUGCUCCUGAUUGAUAAACAUUUGAGUGAGUGGCGGACGGGUGAGUAACACGUGGGUAACCUGCCCUAAAGUGGGGGAUAACAUUUGGAAACAGAUGCUAAUACCGCAUAAAACCUAACACCGCAUGGUGUAGGGUUGAAAGAUGGUUUCGGCUAUCACUUUAGGAUGGACCCGCGGUGCAUUAGUUAGUUGGUGAGGUAAAGGCUCACCAAGACCGUGAUGCAUAGCCGACCUGAGAGGGAAAUCGGCCACACUGGGACUGAGACACGGCCCAGACUCCUACGGGAGGCAGCAGUAGGGAAUCUUCCACAAUGGACGAAAGUCUGAUGGAGCAACGCCGCGUGAGUGAAGAAGGUUUUCGGAUCGUAAAACUCUGUUGUUGGAGAAGAAUGUAUCUGAUAGUAACUGAUCAGGUAGUGACGGUAUCCAACCAGAAAGCCACGGCUAACUACGUG
rnacentral:rRNA from 1 species